UUGCAGAUCAAGACCUACACUUUCAACCAGUCAAGAUACCCGAGAAUCGACAAGGAGACUCUGAUGCCAGUCACCAAGACUUGCUCUCUUGAGGGAGAUCUGGAGGGAUGGUACCCACCGGGCCACGGGGACUUCUACACCUCCUUCAGGAACUCUGGACUUUUGGACGAGUUCGUAGCCCAGGGCAAGGAAUACGUCUUCAUCAGUAACAUCGAUAACCUGGGCGCCACCGUCGACCUCAACAUCCUCAAUUUCCUCCUCGAGGGAGAGAAGAGCGGCCGGUGUCAGUUCCUCAUGGAAGUCACCGAUAAGACCAGGGCUGAUGUCAAGGGCGGUACCCUCAUCCAGUACGAAGACCGCCUAAGACUCCUGGAAAUCGCCCAGGUGCCCAAAGACCACGUCGACGACUUCAAGUCGGUGAAGACCUUCAAGAUUUUCAACACGAACAACUUGUGGAUCAAACUCAGGUGUAGGUGAAUCGUAAAUU